UAAGAAUUUCAAUUAAAAUGAAAAAUAUUUGAUUUUCUUUUGCAAAGACCACUUCCACCCGUUUCAAGGAAUCACGGCACCAUAGCACAACCCUAUUUCUAGAGGAGAUGAACAUAGAUGAACAAAGAGAAAUUACCUUUCACUUGAGGCAGCAGAAGCGUGGGAACAUUUCUAGACUGAGAACGAAGGAGACAUGAGCUGAGAUGAUGGAAGCUGAGAGGACGAGCUGAGAUGGAGAGCUGAGACGGAGAGCUGAGGAAGAAAACCCUAUUUUUUUAGGGAAAAUGUUUUGUAGUUUCCUAUUGUGUUUUGAGAUUAAGAAAGGUUCAAACUUAGUUAAAAUAUUUUUGCAACAAACUUAGUGACAGAGUAUGACAUCCGUUGCUAAAAAAUAAUUAUAUUAAUUUAGAUUAAAUUCUAGCGAUG
rnacentral:lncRNA from 1 species